rnacentral:rRNA from 1 species
GAUGAACGCUGGCGGCGUGCCUAAUACAUGUAAGUCGAGCGAACGGACGAGAAGCUUGCUUCUCUGAUGUUAGCGGCGGACGGGUGAGUAACACGUGGAUAACCUACCUAUAAGACUGGGAUAACUUCGGGAAACCGGAGCUAAUACCGGAUAAUAUUUUGAACCGCAUGGUUCAAAAGUAAAAGACGGUCUUGCUGUCACUUAUAGAUGGAUCCGCGCUGCAUUAGCUAGUUGGUAAGGUAACGGCUUACCAAGGCAACGAUGCAUAGCCGACCUGAGAGGGUGAUCGGCCACACUGGAACUGAGACACGGUCCAGACUCCUACGGGAGGCAGCAGUAGGGAAUCUUCCGCAAUGGGCGAAAGCCUGACGGAGCAACGCCGCGUGAGUGAUGAAGGUCUUCGGAUCGUAAAACUCUGUUAUUAGGGAAGAACAUAUGUGUAAGUAACUGUGCACAUCUUGACGGUACCUAAUCAGAAAGCCACGGCUAACUACGUG